rnacentral:rRNA from 1 species
UAGUGGCGAACGGGUGAGUAACACGUGAGUAACCUGCCCUUAACUCUGGGAUAAGCCUUGGAAACAGGGUCUAAUACUGGAUAUUGACUUUAUCUCGCAUGGGGUUUAGUUGAAAGAUUUAUCGGUUUUGGAUGGACUCGCGGCCUAUCAGCUUGUUGGUGAGGUAAUGGCUCACCAAGGCGACGACGGGUAGCCGGCCUGAGAGGGUGACCGGCCACACUGGGACUGAGACACGGCCCAGACUCCUACGGGAGGCAGCAGUGGGGAAUAUUGCACAAUGGGCGAAAGCCUGAUGCAGCGACGCCGCGUGAGGGAUGACGGCCUUCGGGUUGUAAACCUCUUUCAGUAGGGAACAAGGCCACAUUUUGUGUGGUUGAGGGUACUUGCAGAAGAAGCGCCGGCUAACUACGUGCCAGCAGCCGCGGUAAUACGUAGGGCGCAAGCGUUAUCCGGAAUUAUUGGGCGUUAAAGAGCUCGUAGGCGGGUUUGGUCGCGUCUGCCGUGAAAGUCCGGGGCUCAACCCCCGGAUCUUCGGUGGGGUACCGGGCAGAAUAAAAGUUGAUUGGUUAAGGGGAGAACUUGGAAGUUCCUUGGUUGUUAACCGGCAAA